GAUGAACGCUGGCGGCGUGCUUAACACAUGCAAGUCGAACGGACAGGCCCUGCUUUUGCGGGGUGCUCGAGUGGCGCACGGGUGAGUAACACGCGAGUAACCUGCCCUUGACUUUGGGAUAACAUUAGGAAACUGGGGCUCAUAUCGGAUAGGAGCUCCUGCUGCACGGUGGGGGUUGGAAAGUUUCGGCGGUUGGGGAUGGACUCGCGGCUUAUCAGCUUGUUGGUGGGGUAGUGGCUUACCAAGGCUUUGACGGGUAGCCGGCCUGAGAGGGUGACCGGCCACAAUGGGACUGAGGUACGGCCCAGACUCCUACGGGAGGCAGCAGUGGGGAAUAUUGCGCAGUGGGCGGAAGCCUGAUGCAGCAGCGCCGCGUGCGGGAUGACGGCCUUCGGGUUGUAAACCACUUUCGCCUGUGACGAAGCGUGAGUGACGGUAAUGGGUAAAGAAGCACCGGCUAACUACGUG
rnacentral:rRNA from 1 species